UGGAGAAAAGCAGGGGAUCGUAAGACCUUGCGCUUUUGGAGUGGCCGAUGCCUGAUUAGCUAGUUGGUGGGGUAAAGGCCUACCAAGGCGACGAUCAGUAGUUGGUCUGAGAGGACGACCAGCCACACUGGGACUGAGACACGGCCCAGACUCCUACGGGAGGCGGCAGUGGGGGAUUUUGGACAAUGGGCGAAAGCCUGAUCCAGCAAUGCCGCGUGAGUGAAGAAGGCCUUCGGGUUGUAAAGCUCUUUCAGUCGAGAAGAAAAGAUUGUGAUGAAUAAUCACAGUUCAUGACGGUAUCGACAGAAGAAGCACCGGCUAACUACGUGCCAGCAGCCGCGGUAAUACGUAGGGUGCAAGCGUUAAUCGGAAUUACUGGGCGUAAAGGGUGCGCAGGCGGCUUUGUAAGUCAGAUGUGA
rnacentral:rRNA from 1 species